UAAGUAAGUGGUGGAAGAAAAAAUAAACAUGAUUCUUUUAGUAAUGGCGAAUGAACAAAGACAUGGUCAUUUUGAAAAUUGUGGUCUUAGAUCAUGAAUUGUAUUUUCAAAAUGCAUUGCUAACACAACUGCACAUGUUUGUUUAUUGGAAAGAACAUCACAAAGGGUGACAAUCCCAUGUGUCAUGUGUAUGUUUUGUGUACAGCGUGCAUUAUAUGAAUCACAUUCAUUGACAAUUGAAUGCAAAUAGAAUGGUAAAUUUCAUUUAAUCAUAAAUAUGUUGUUGACAACUUAUAGCAAACAAAUACCAUGAGGGAAAUGUGAAAAGGAUUUUGAAAAGAAAAUUAAAAGAGCUUGCAAUUGCUGAACUGAUAAGCAAACAAAACAUACGUGUGUAUGCAAGAUUGUUGUAAUGCUUAGCAUCCUAUGCAAGGCUAUUGCAAUGAUUUUUUGUAUAGUGAUGCUACCUUUUUUUAGAAUUUGGAAUGUCUUUUUUUGAGUGUGAAUGGAAUUUUGUUUGUUAGCAAAGGAAUGCACUUUUAGAUUCAUUGUUUGAUUUGAUUUAAAAAUGUUUGUGACACAUGUCUUUGUUUUAGUUUCAUGCUUCAACCAAGGACAUUGUGUUUGAUCCAUAUCAGCAAUACAUGUUUUGUUUGACCCGUCUUGAAACACGGACCAAGGAGUUUAAUUUAUGUGCAAGAUCAUGAAACUGACAUUUGUAUAUCAAUGAAAAUAUUUUGUUGGGAUUUGUGCACCAACAACUGAUAAGUUGUGUGACGCGACGUUGAGUUUGAGCAUGUUGAUUAAAACCCGAAAGAUGGUGAACUAUGCCUGAACAGAAUGAAGUCAGAG
rnacentral:rRNA from 1 species